rnacentral:tRNA from 1 species
AAAAAAUUAGUUAAUAAAUAACAUUAGUUUGUCAAACUAAAAUUAUCUUUUAAGAUAUUUUUUA